rnacentral:rRNA from 1 species
GAUGAAUGCUGGCGGUGUGCCUAAUACAUGCAAGUCGAGCGAAUGGAUUGAGAGCUUGCUCUUAUGAAGUUAGCGGCGGACGGGUGAGUAACACGUGGGUAACCUGCCCAUAAGACUGGGAUAACUCCGGGAAACCGGGGCUAAUACCGGAUAACAUUUUGAACCGCAUGGUUCGAAAUUGAAAGGCGGCUUCGGCUGUCACUUAUGGAUGGACCCGCGUCGCAUUAGCUAGUUGGUGAGGUAACGGCUCACCAAGGCAACGAUGCGUAGCCGACCUGAGAGGGUGAUCGGCCACACUGGGACUGAGACACGGCCCAGACUCCUACGGGAGGCAGCGGUAGGGAAUCUUCCGCAAUGGACGAAAGUCUGACGGAGCAACGCCGCGUGAGUGAUGAAGGCUUUCGGGUCGUAAAACUCUGUUGUUAGGGAAGAACAAGUGCUAGUUGAAUAAGCUGGCACCUUGACGGUACCUAACCAGAAAGCCACGGCUAACUACGUGCCAGCCGCCGCGGUAA